ensembl:lncRNA
GUGUGUGUGUGUGUGUGUGAGAGAGAUAAAGAGAGAGGGAGAGUUUGUGUAGCCUAUGUUUGUGUGUGUGAUGUCACUGGAGGCUACUGUGGAGGGGGUGGCGUGUUGUGAUGUGAAGUGAAUGACAAGACUGCUAAAGGGGAACUAAAGCCUUUCCACAGAAAGACGCUGGCUGCAAAAACAAAAACAAAAAAAGCAUAAUUAGGAUAACCUACAUAUGAGUACUGAAAGCAACUGAACAAGAUACAAGACUUCAGCAAUGGAAAGGUAAUAUUACAUAGUAUGUUAUUGUCGGGUGACAGAGACGUAUGGAAGGCGGAGUUUAUUCAGAAUCAGACAAAGCCAGGGGGAAAAACAGGGAUAAAACACCAAAGCAACACAGGACGCAAAGCUCAGAAGUUGAAAAGUGUCAAAACGUGAACGCGCAGAAGUUAAACGGGAAAACUAUGAACAAACGUAAAGUGGAAUCGCAACACAGGAGCUAUCGGCGCAGGAGCGCUUGAGGAAACAAAACGACAGAGUGUCGAGGCGGAGUUCAGUUCAGUUCAGUUCAGUUCAGUUCAGUUCAGUUCAGUUCAGUUGUAUCGUAAGAGGAUUGGGCUCUCCUCUGACCCAGGAUCAGUCCAGGUGUGGAGUGUGUGAGCAGGUACUGAGGGACCCAGUCAUCACCACCUGUGGAC